GUUCUUUAAAUGGGGACUUGUAUCAACGGCUUCACGAGGGCCAUACUGUCUCCUUUUUCCAAUCAGUGAAACUGAUCUUCCCGUGAAGAAGCGGGAAUUAACCUAUAAGACGAGAAGACCCCAUGGAGCUUUAAACCCAACAACAAGUCUAAUAAACACACCCUAAAAAUUAGACACCUGCUGUUGGUUUUAGGUUGGGGUGACCGCGGAGUAUAAACUAACCUCCACGACGAAUGGGACUAAACCCUUAUCUACGAGCCACCGCUCUAAGAAUCAGCACACUGACUUCUAAUGAUCCGAUAUUCGAUCAACGAACCAAGUUACCCUGGGGAUAACAGCGCUAUCCAUUUCAAGAGCUCCUAUCGACAAAUGGGUUUACGACCUCGAUGUUGGAUCAGGGUAUCCUAGUGGUGCAGCCGCUACUAAAGGUUUGUUUGUUCAACAAUUAAAACCCUACGUGAUCUGA
rnacentral:rRNA from 1 species